rnacentral:rRNA from 1 species
AUUGAACGCUGGCGGCAGGCCUAACACAUGCAAGUCGAACGGUAACAGGAAGAAGCUUGCUUCUUUGCUGACGAGUGGCGGACGGGUGAGUAAUGUCUGGGAAACUGCCUGAUGGAGGGGGAUAACUACUGGAAACGGUAGCUAAUACCGCAUAACGUCGCAAGACCAAAGAGGGGGACCUUCGGGCCUCUUGCCAUCGGAUGUGCCCAGAUGGGAUUAGCUAGUAGGUGGGGUAACGGCUCACCUAGGCGACGAUCCCUAGCUGGCCUGAGAGGAUGACCAGCCACCGUGGAAAUGAGAAGCGGACAAGGCCCCCAGGGGAGGCAGCAGGGGGGAAUAUUGCACAAGGGGGGAAAGCCUAUGGCACCCACGCCGGGGGUAAGAAGAAGGCUUGGGGGUUUUAAAUUAUUUUGAGCGGGGGGGAAGGGAGUAAAAUUAAAACCUUUGCCCAUUGACUUUACCCGCAGAAGAAGCACCGGCUAACCCCGG